UGGGGAAUAUUGGACAAUGGGCGCAAGCCUGAUCCAGCAACGCCGCGUGGAGGAAGAAGGUCUUCGGAUCGUAAACUCCUGUCAGGUGGGACGAAAAGCCGUCGGCAAAUAGUCGGCGGUCUUGACGGUACCAUCAGAGGAAGCACCGGCUAACUCCGUGCCAGCAGCCGCGGUAAUACGGAGGGGGCGAGCGUUAUUCGGAAUUAUUGGGCGUAAAGGGCGCGUAGGCGGCGAGGUAAGUCAAAGGUGAAAUCCCUCGGCUCAACCGAGGAACUGCCUUUGAAACUACCCCGCUCGAGGCCGGGAGGGGGUAGCGGAAUUCCCAGUGUAGCGGUGAAAUGCGUAGAUACUGGGAGGAACACCGGUGGCGAAGGCGGCUACCUGGACCGGUUCUGACGCUGAUGCGCGAAAGCGUGGGGAGCAA
rnacentral:rRNA from 1 species